GAUAGAUAGAUAGAUAGAUAGAUAGAUAGAUAGAUAGAUAGAUAGAUAGAUAGAUAGAUAGAUAGAUAGAUAGAAAUAUAUUGUGUCUUGCAGUGUGUGCAUGCCAUGAGCAGGUUACGUGACUCAGCAAUGUAUGCCUUUGGCAAUGUGUGUUAUUUACUGUCUGGUUCACAUUGCUGUGAGUUCCUGUCUAAUUGAAAUGGGGCCAAGCUGGAGUGACUUUUUGCUUUUCUUUUCUUGCAGGCCACUGCUUUUGAAAGGAAAGAUGUUUAUUUCCUGAUAAUACAAGAUAGUGUGUUGUGUUAACAACUGUGUUAUAUUCAGUUUAUUGAAGGUGCAAAAGAGAUAUGUUGUGCUCUCCAAAAAGAAGGAUUUUGGGCGGAUUUUAUAGAUCCAUCAUCUGGCCUUGCAUUCUUCGGCUCAUACACAAACAACACGCUCUUUGAAACGGAUGAAAGAUACAGACAUUUAGGUUUUCAGAUCGAAGACCUGGGCUGUUGUAAAGUGAUCCGGCAUACGAUAUGGGGGACGCACGCUUUUGUGGGCACACUGUUCACCACUGCUCCACCCGACAGCCAAAUCAUGAAGAAGCUCCAAGGAAGCUGAAGAUAAUUAGUUAAGGAUGCUGUGUUGCUAUGGAAACAUGGUCAGGCGCAACACUAGAAAUAAACUUUGGAUGGUUCCUUACCUUUAUGCUUGAUCAGCAAAAUCAAACACACUAAAAUCUACAAUUCAAUAUGAAGUUGCCCAAUGACUGGUGCUAAGAUGUGUUUUGUUUUUGUAGAACAAGAGGCACUUUUGGUGUAACUUUUACUGUGGGGGCUUGUGCUACAGAGUCAAAUUCACUGUCAGGCAAUCAUGUAGGAUGUUCAAUGCAAGUCUUUGCCUGUGUUGCCUUUUUUAAAACACGCCCCUGAGAAAGUCCAUUAAAAAUGUGGGUUUAAAUGGGUUGCAAAGCUAAGAUUGUUUUCUGCUCCAGUGAUGCAAUAGAAUCCUUGACGAAAUUGAUAAUGUUAAUAUUAAAUAAAAUGUGAGAACUGUUACAAUAAUUAAAAUAUAUCAGAAAUGACUAAAGGCUUUUAGACUUUAAUUCAAUAACAUAAACUUUCUCCUUAGGUCCAUAAUAUUCACACAUAAUAAAUGGAGGAGAUCUACUUUCUCUAAUGUUCUUCUAAUGUUUUUCCCACUGUGUAAUUUAUAUAAUUUAUACAAUAAUUUGAAGCCACUGACCUUAAUGUUAAAAUCUGACCUUCUUCAUUCUGUCAUUAAUCAAACUAUAGAGAAAUGUAAGCUGCGAAGAUAAAAAAGCUUUUAUGACUCAGUCAGUGGCAAGUGUGCAGACUUUCUAAAUGUAAUGUUUUGCAAUUUGAGGGGGUGUUUCAUGGUUUACCUCAAUAUGAAAUGCAUUAGCAGUCUUAGCCUGUCUCUAAACUAAAUGGAGAAUGUUUUGGGCCGAUUAGCUUGAGGUUAGCAAAGGUAGCAGCUGCUGGGGUCAAUGUCUCCAGGGUACCAUUAGAAUUCAUUUAGAGUCACAACAGAUGGGCUAUAAUCAGUCUUCUUUAAACUCUGACACCACAAUUAUUUAGCCAGUUCUUCACUCUCCAUUAGCACGAGCUGUGAAUGAAUGAAUGAUCAUAAGACCCAUAUGAUCAACACAAAAGCACGAUUCUGUUUUCUGAAGUCUCUUAAUAAUGAUAUGGUAUAUUGACAUAACCGCUUACAGAAAGUUACCAAAUACAUAUAACUGUCAUGAUGUGUGGUCAAAUCAAAGCACGUGCUUGUUUAGAGACAGGCUCUGUCUGGAUAAUGAAUUAGGCCUAUAGGACAGUGGUCAGUCUUCACCCCAUGCAUGUCUGACAACCAAUCUUGAUUGACAUGACUAUCAAUUAGGCAUAAUUGUCCACCUAAAACUUUGUUCCUCCCCUUUGUCAGUUUGAAACCUUUCCCCAAGCUGGUGAAAUUGGGGGCAUAUUCUCCAAUGGGAUUCAAUAGCAUUUAAUAUGAUAUAAUAACAUCUAUUGUUCGUAUAAUAAAAAAUGUACUUUUGCUUUGAA